CCCUGGCUCCAGGUGUAGUAAAAACACUCUUGGGCUGGCUUUUCUGUACCUUCUGUUCCUAAGCUGCAGGAUUCAAUUUCCUUCUGCUUGGUUGUGAUCAGAGAAGAAAGAUAACCUAUGUGUACUAGCCUUAUGUACUAACCAAGGGAUGAUCUUGCCCUUCAGCCUAUAAAGCUACAAAGAAGUUGUUAUAUAUCCUGAGCAGUUUACAGAUGCAGAAAGCCUUUCCUCCUUGACUCACAGAAGGAUUGACCAGUAGGCAGUUUGUUUGCUCACCACUUCCAAACUGCAGGGACAAGGAACCCAGGGUGUGAGAGGAUACAAGGCUUCCCUUCCCCCAUGAGCUGUGUCUCCACCUGAACGGGUGCGUUUUUGAGAGCGUCCCUCCUGGUGCAUGGAGGACCCUUCUUUUCCGACCUUACCUAGCAAUUUAGUGCAAAUGCCUGGAAGAACAGAGAGGGCGUUUGGACAGCUCUCUCUUCCUGCACCAUUAGAGGAUCUUUGAGCUGUCUUUCUUCUGGCAACGCUGCCAGCAAAAUAAGUUUCUGAGCAUAAAACAUUGCUACUUCUUGUGUAUUGGGAGAUCUGCUGGUAAAAGUGUGGGUAUAAAAUGCUCUCUGAGGUUGUUCUAUUUGGUGGAGGAAAAGCCAGAGAUUCAGUAUUAUUUUUGCUUAAUCAACAUACUGCGAAAGGAGAACAAUGCAAACUUGUUAGUCAUUUUCCAAUACUCUAGAUAUUGAGAGGAUGAAUAAAUCUCCAACAAUGUAGUGAUGCUGUGGUGGCUUCCAAAAGCCCUUCCUGCCUGAUGCCACAGCUCUUCGUGGGUCACUGUCAGUACGAACCCUAUGCUGCCCAUGCAGGUUUUGGGGCAUUGGAAUUUUUUUGGGGAAGGCUAUCAUUUAAGAGCUGUGGGCUCUUCACGAGA